rnacentral:rRNA from 1 species
GUGGGGAAUUUUGGACAAUGGGCGCAAGCCUGAUCCAGCGACGCCGCGUGGAGGACGAAGGCCUUCGGGUUGUAAACUCCUUUUGGAGGGGAAGAAUAAAUUGACGGUACCCUCAGAAAAAGCCACGGCUAACUACGUGCCAGCAGCCGCGGUAAUACGUAGGUGGCGAGCGUUACUCGGAAUUACUAGGCGUAAAGCGUAUGUAGGUGGUUAGAUAAGUCUAUGGUGAAAUUUCCUGGCUUAACUGGGAAGGGACAUAGAGACUAUCUGGCUUGAGUGUGGGAGGGGGAGACGGAAUUCCUGGUGUAGCGGUGAAAUGCGUAGAUAUCAGGAGGAACACCGAUGGCGAAAGCAGUCUCCUGGCCCAAUACUGACACUGAGGUACGAAAGCUAGGGUAGCAAACAGGAUUAGAAACCCCUGUAGUCC